GAUGAACGCUGGCGGCGUGCCUAAUACAUGCAAGUCGAGCGAACAGACGAGGCGCUUGCUCCUCUGACGUUAGCGGCGGGCGGGUGUGAAACACGUGGAUAACCCACCUAUAAGACGGGGAUAACUUCGGGAAACCGGGGCUAAUACCGGAUAAUAUAUUGAACCGCAUGGUUCAAUAGUGAAAGACGGUUUUGCUGUCACGUAUAGAUGGAUCCGCGCCGCAUUAGCUGGUUGGUAAGUUAACGGCUUACCAAGGCGACGAUGCGUAGCCGACCUGAGAGAGUGAUCGGCGACAUUGGAGCUGAGACACGGUCCAGACUCCUACGGGAGGCAGCAGUCGGGAAUCGUCCGCAGUGGGCGAAAGCCUGACGGAGCAACGCCGCGUGAGUGAUGAAGGUCUUCGGAUCGUAAAGAUCUGUUAUUGGGGAAGAACAGAUGUGUAAGGAAAUAUGCACGUCUUGACGGUACCGGAUCAGAAAGCACCGGCUAACUACGUG
rnacentral:rRNA from 1 species